rnacentral:rRNA from 1 species
GACGAACGCUGGCGGCGUGCCUAAUACAUGCAAGUCGAACGCUUCUUUCCUCCCGAGUGCUUGCACUCAAUUGGAAAGCGGAGUGGCGGACGGGUGAGUAACACGUGGGUAACCUACCCAUCAGAGGGGGAUAACACUUGGAAACAGGUUCUAAUACCGCAUAACAGUUUAUGCCGCAUGGCAUAAGAGUGAAAGGCGCUUUCGUGUGUCGCUGUUGGAUGGACCCGCGGUGCAUUAGCUAGUUGGUGAGGUAACGGCUCACCAAGGCCACGAUGCAUAGACGACGGGAGAGGGUGAUCGGCCACACUGGGACGGAGCCGCGGCCCAGACGCCUACGGGAGGCAGCAGUAGGGAAUCUGCGGCAAUGGACGAAAGUCUGACCGAGCAACGCCGCGUGAGUGAAGAAGGUGUUCGGAUCGUAAAACUCUGUUGUUAGAGAAGAACAAGGACGUUAGUAACUGAACGUCCCCUGACGGUAUCUAACCAGAAAGCCACGGCUAACUACGUG